CUACAAUGGGACCAACCCUGAUGCUGC
rnacentral:piRNA from 1 species